rnacentral:rRNA from 1 species
GACGAACGCUGGCGGCGUGCUUAACACAUGCAAGUCGAACGGAAAGGCCCUGCUUUUGUGGGGUGCUCGAGUGGCGAACGGGUGAGUAACACGUGAGUAACCUGCCCUUGACUUUGGGAUAACUUCAGGAAACUGGGGCUAAUACCGGAUAGGAGCUCCUGCUGCAUGGUGGGGGUUGGAAAGUUUCGGCGGUUGGGGAUGGACUCGCGGCUUAUCAGCUUGUUGGUGGGGUAGUGGCUUACCAAGGCUUUGACGGGUAGCCGGCCUGAGAGGGUGAACGGCCACAUUGGGACUGAGAUACGGCCCAGAGUCCUACGGGAGGCAGCAGUGGGGAAUAUUGCACAAUGGGCGGAAGCCUGAUGCAGCAACGCCGCGUGCGGGAUGACGGCCUUCGGGUUGUAAACCGCUUUCGCCUGUGACGAAGCGUGAGUGACGGUAAUGGGUAAAGAAGCACCGGCUAACUACGUG